CCGGCGUCCUGCCCUCGGCUGUCCGAGACCCCAUCCUGCCCGCGCGGCAGGGGCCAGGGGUCUGCCAGCUCCUGAAUCCUCUAAAAUUACAUGAAAUUAAGUGUCUGAUCUGUCUCUCCAGCUCAGCAGGUGUAGGAGCCGCAGCCAUGACUCACGUGCAGGUGAGAGGCCACAGUGCAGCCUUUCAUAUGAUUAGUGUGUGUGGGCUGUAUGUGUGUGUGUAGGGUGUGUGUGCUGUGGUGGGGUGUGUGUGUGUGGUAUGUGGGGUGUGUGGGGUGUGUGUGGUGUGUGUGGUGUGUGGUAUGUGUGUGAGCGCGGGCACUCACUGCAGUUGCCCAGCCAGGCUGUCCCUCCCAGAAGACUUCCGGCCCUGUGCCCUGAGUCCUGCCCGUCUCCUGAGGCUCCUCUGUGCUUUGUGCCCGGCCUCGGUGGACCUCCAGUGGACAGCUGACCAGAUAACAAAAAGGUCGUCUUCUGUGGGUUUAAACAUGGUGUGAAGGUGGCGUCAGCUGCUGUGCUAUCAUGCUCGCUUCGGCAGCCAAGUUCGCUGCAUCACUUCUCUUCUUGGAAACCGGACGUGGGAGCGUGUCCACACCCACACCUCAUCUUUGUUUCCUCCCGUUGCUCUGGGAUGCACAGUGACAUGACGGAUGGUCGUCCAGUCCUGAUACAGAUACAGAGAUGCGCGGGGUCCAGGGUGACCGGCGGCUUGUGAUGGAGGUCGGGGGGACGCCAGGGCUGCAGGGGAGCAGCUGGAGCAUCUAGAUGAAGCCCACUGGGGUGUGAUCAGGGAACAGAGCCCCGGGGGCAGGAAGGUUGCUGUGCACGAGCUGGAGGAGAUGCAGGCAUGGAGAACUCUCGUAGACUUGAGAGUGGACAGAGGUGGAGGGUGGACGCUGGUGAAGACUAGGCAGGGGAGGAUAUUUUAGAGAUUGCGAAACUACACUUGCUGGAGCUUUUUUUAGAGGAAGAAAUAGGAGCCAGGGCAGAGAGGGGUGCAGAAGGGCAGACUUCACACAAGCUUCUGUGAACAGCUGAGCACGGUUCUUCAGAUACAAUUAGACCGUCGGUUUUUCAUGAAAAUAUAUUUUGGAGGCCUCCCUGGUGGCGCAUCAGGUGGAGCACAGCACUGUGAAGCUGUCUUCAGCCUCUGCAGCGCAGGUUCGAUCCCUGGCCGGCCGGGGAGAUUCCCACAUGGAGCAGCAGGCCUCUCCUGUCUCCCGCUGCUCCCUUCAGCAGUGUCUUCGGUUCGUCUGCCUGUUCUGCUCCCCGCUCUGUCUCUGGUGAAUCCUCUCACCCUCCCGCGCCUCUGGCCUGUACCCCAGCUAUUGUA